GACGAACGCUGGCGGCGCGCCUAACACAUGCAAGUCGAACGGAGCUUAGAGAGCUUGCUUUUAAGCUUAGUGGCGAACGGGUGAGUAACGCGUGAGUAACCUGCCCUGGAGUGGGGGACAACAGUUGGAAACGACUGCUAAUACCGCAUAAGCCCACGGUACCGCAUGGCACUGAGGGAAAAGGAUUUAUUCGCUUUAGGAUGGACUCGCGUCUGAUUAGCUUGUUGGUGAGGUAACGGCCCACCAAGGCGACGAUCAGUAGGGGUUCUGAGAGGAAGGUCCCCCACAUUGGAACUGAGACACGGUCCAAAACUCCUACGGGAGCAGCAGUGAGGAAUAUUGGUCAAUGGACAGAGUCUGAACCA
rnacentral:rRNA from 1 species